UGGGGAAUAUUGCACAAUGGGCGCAAGCCUGAUGCAGCGACGCCGCGUGGGGGAUGACGGCCUUCGGGUUGUAAACUCCUUUCGCCAAAGACGAAUUUGGACGGUAUUUGGAGAAGAAGCACCGGCUAACUACGUGCCAGCAGCCGCGGUAAUACGUAGGGUGCGAGCGUUGUCCGGAAUUACUGGGCGUAAAGAGCUCGUAGGUGGUUUGUCGCGUCGUUUGUGGAAUACCGGGGCUUAACUUCGGGGUUGCAUACGAUACGGGCAUAACUUGAGUGCUGUAGGGGAGACUGGAAUUCCUGGUGUAGCGGUGAAAUGCGCAGAUAUCAGGAGGAACACCGAUGGCGAAGGCAGGUCUCUGGGCAGUAACUGACGCUGAGGAGCGAAAGCAUGGGGAGCGAACAG
rnacentral:rRNA from 1 species